AUUAAGGGUUUUCUUUCUUCUUCGCCGUCGACGCCGUGUUGUGGCCUCUUCACAUAAAAGAAACGUCUCACAAUUCCUUCAAUCCGCCAUUAAUUCUGAGUUUUUUCCUUGUGUAAUCAACCCUUCUCUUUAAGAUUACUAUCAGCCUCUUGGUUUCCAUUGAAACUGCCACAAUCUCCAACUAUAAAUAUGAGCCCUUCUACCAUGCGCAGUCGAUCUGACACCAUUUUUGAAAACAAGCAAAUUUCGAUCAAACGAUUCCGAUGGUGAAUUCAUACACUAUUCUUGCUAAUCUGAAAGCCGGGAGAUGCUCUAACACCGCCGAGGUUCGUCUGCUGAGGUUCUGGGAUGCGCUGGGAUGCGAAAAACAUCACCAAAGGUGGAAAACUGAUUAAUCUCGAGAUGUUAUUGAUUGACGAACAAAAUGCAGGUCUCAGUGCUCAAGUAGAUAAUGAGAUCCCCAAGUUUAUUGUUGAUAUUGUUGGUAAGAGCUACACUUUCCAGCUCAAGUUAGGAGAGUUCAGUUUCACUGCCAAGCACCAAACCUUCACCAUAUCCCGUAUCAUUACUGAGUGUCAGCGUAGAUUACUCCCAGAAUUUGUUAUAGAUGUUGGUAUCGCAAAACUGAAAAACAAGAAUGACUCGACACAAAAACUCUAGGCCUGAAUUAAGGACAGCCAACAUGUUUUGGGUGAAUCAAAUCUGAUGCAGCUCUUCCUCCGAUGGCAACUCAGAGCCAUGGGACAAGUCUUAUCGAAGGCUAUGAUGCAGUUAUAUUACUGCAAGUUGGUUACUUGACAGCUGAAACGAUGCUUCAAGGAACCAUACAUGUGGCAAACGUGUAUUCUUUAAUGCAACAUAUGAGAGUCAAUUAAACUUUGGCAAUGAGACCAGUUAUGGUUGUGUAACACUGAUGGUCAUUGCUCCUCAAGUUCUUCAAUGUAUGGACGUCUUCAGAAAAUAUAUAUAGUAACGGUGCCAGAGCUUGAUUCGUCACCACAGGUCAAUACCUUACCAGGUUCUUAUUUCUAAGCAGGACCCAAGUGUGGAGGACCCUUUGCGAUCUCCCACAAUGUCUCCGGCAUCUCCGCUCUCCCAACCGUGCUGUCAGCAGAGCCUACACUUUUCAGUUGCAGCUGUCCAAAUUUAAAUUCUCUUCCAACCAUCAGACAUUCACUAUCUCCCGCUCUUCGAUCGCAACUGAUAUAGACACAGUAUUAGCUAUCUAACAUUGGGAUACACGGAGGAUAGGGAGGCAAUAACAACCCUGACGAUGAUAUACCGGGGGCAACAUGUGUUUUCCGCAAGAGUUCUGUGGGAAUGAAGCUCACGGGUAGCUACUGGCCUGGCUCAUGAAACACAUCAGCUCUUAAGUCAAAAUGACAAACUUCUCAAGUUUCAGAGAGUACGACGAACCUAUUUACUCUCAACUCUUGAUAUCACCUGCAAUGUUUUCAAAUGAUUCCUACAAGAAUGACUUAAACUUCUCAAGUUUCAGAGAGUACGACGAACCUAUUUACUCUCAACUCUUGAUAUCACCUGCAAUGUUUUCAAAUGAUUCCUACAAGAAAAUUCGUACUUUGCACUUAUGCAAAAAAAUUUGAUUUGCUUAUUCGCUACU